GAGGUUGAAAGAUCGAAAAAGGCGGCAAAAACAAAACGCACUACAGGUCGAAGUCGUAUGAUGAGUGGUAUAGUCUUAAACCAAUGUUUAAAGACAAACCCCCCGCCCCCAAUAUAUUUUAGGAUGAUGUAGAAGAUGCCCCCCCCCCUGAGAAGUCACAGCAUGUCACUUCAGCAUCCAGCUCUGCAGGAUCAGGUGAUACUGAAAACAAAAUGCAUGGGACACCUUAGAGGCAAGGAAGAAUUUGGUGCAUUCACCUUAUGACAUCCAGUGGAACAGUCACUUUACAAUAGUGC